GACGAACGCUGGCGGCGCGCCUCAUACAUGCAAGUCGAACGUGAAGCCCGGAGCUUGCUCUGGGUGGAAAGUGGCGAACGGGUGAGGAACACGUGAGGAACCUGCCCCGAAGACUGGGAUAACACCGGGAAACCGGUGCUAAUACCGGAUGUCCUCAUCGGAUCGCAUGGUCCGAUGAGGAAAUGGAUUCCGCUUCGGGAUGGCCUCGCGGCCUAUCAGCUUGUCGGUGGGGUAACGGCCCACCAAGGCUUCGACGGGUAGCUGGUCUGAGAGGAUGUCCAGCCACACUGGGACUGAGACACGGCCCAGACUCCUACGGGAGGCAGCAGUAGGGAAUCUUGCGCAAUGAGCGAAAGCGUGACGCAGCGACGCCGCGUGCGGGAUGAAGGCCCUCGGGUCGUAAACCGCUUUCAGCAGGGACGAAAUUGACGGUACCUGCAGAAGAAGGCCCGGCCAACUACGUGCCAGCAGCCGCGGUAAGAC
rnacentral:rRNA from 1 species